rnacentral:rRNA from 1 species
CGUGCAAAGGUAGCAUAAUCACUUGUCUCUUAAUUAGAGGCUAGCAUGAACGGCUAAAUGAGGGCCUAACUGUCUCCCAUGACCAAUCAAUGAAACUGAUCUCCCAGUCCAAAAGCUGGGAUACACCCAUAAGACGAGAAGACCCUGUGGAGCUUCCAACCUCCUUGCUAAAUGAAAAACUAACAGCCAAAUUGACUUCCAAACUCCACCAUCAUAGCAACAAGUUUAAGUUGGGGCAACUUUGAAAAAAAAAUAAACUUUCAAGCUAAGGACCACCACCAAAAGCACAGGCCCACAAGCCCACGCAUAAACUACUAGACCCAGUAAUACUGAUCAACGAACCAAGUUACCCCAGGGAUAACAGCGCAAUCCCCUUUUAGAGUCCUUAUCGCAAUGGGGGUUUACGACCUCGAUGUUGGAUCAGGACGCCCAAGUGGUGCAGCCGCUACUAAUGGUUCGUUUGUUCAACGAUU